CAGAGGUCUCAAGCGUUGUUCGGAUUCAUUGGGCGUAAAGGGUGCGUAGGCGGCAGUGCAAGUCAGGUGUGAAAUCCCGAGGCUCAACCCCGGAACUGCACUUGAUACUGCUCUGCUAGAGUACUGGAGAGGAGACUGGAAUUUACGGUGUAGCAGUGAAAUGCGUAGAUAUCGUAAGGAAGACCAGUGGCGAAGGCGAGUCUCUGGACAGUUACUGACGCUGAGGCACGAAGGCCAGGGGAGCAAACGGGAUUAGAUACCCCGGUAGUCCUGGCAGUAAACGGUGCGCGUUUGGUGUGGGAGGAUUCGACCCCUUCCGUGCCGGAGCUAACGCGUUAAACGCGCCGCCUGGGGAGUACGGUCGCAAGAUUA
rnacentral:rRNA from 1 species